CCUACGGGAGGCAGCAGUGAGGAAUAUUGGUCAAUGGCCGUAAGGCUGAACCAGCCAAGUCGCGUGAAGGAAGAAGGAUCUAUGGUUUGUAAACUUCUUUUAUAGGGGAAUAAAGGUAUCCACGUGUGGAUAUUUGCAUGUACCCUAUGAAUAAGCAUCGGCUAACUCCGUGCCAGCAGCCGCGGUAAUACGGAGGAUGCGAGCGUUAUCCGGUUUUAUUGGGUUUAAAGGGUGCGUAGGUUGUUUUUUAAGUCAGCGGUGAAAGUUUGUGGCUCAACCAUAACAUUGCCGUUGAAACUGGAAGGCUUGAGUGUGGUUGAGGUAGGCGGAAUGCGUGGUGUAGCGGUGAAAUGCGUAGAUAUCACGAAGAACUCCGAUUGCGAAGGCAGCUUACUAAGCCAUGACUGACACUGAAGCGCGAAAGCGUGGGGAUCAAACAGGAUUAGAUACCCGUGUAGUC
rnacentral:rRNA from 1 species